AUUUGUUUGGCCCAAAUUGGUCCAUUGGUGUGGAGAACAGUGGCUUGUUUGAGAUAUUUAUCAUCCAAGGCCAAUGUCAAUUUCACCUUUUCUCAUCUCAUUCAUCUAUACCAUCCCAACUUAAUACGCCAUGGGGUUUUCACCUUAACUGCAAGGAGCAAAAAAGUUUUGGUAAACCCUGAGGAUGACAAAGAUCGUGGAUGGUAUAUCCGUUACGUUGCUGUCCGUACAGUGGAUUUGAUUGGCGAAACAAAUAUUCCCUUUCCUGAGAAGUGGAAUUUUGAACAAACCAUGGGAGAUGUGGAACCUAUUCCCAACUUUCGUGGUUGAGUAGACUCACUUUUGAAGAUUGCUACUAGGGAGCAGAGAACUUGGAAAUCAAUUUCUUCUUUACAUGGCUGGAAAGUCAAAACACAUGGAUUUGGCAUUAGAGGAAUGA